GGCGCGAUGGCGGCGGGGCUGUGCUGGCGGGCCGGGCUGCGCGCGGGGAGGCGGAGACUGGUGGAUUCUCUUCAGCCAGCUGGUGUUCCUAAGCUCAGUUAUCGCUUUACAUCAUCACACAAAUAUGUUCCCAGACGGGCUGUGCUCUAUGUACCUGCGGAUGAUGAAAAGAAGAUAAGAAAAAUCCCAUCACUAAAUGUAGAUUGUGCAGUGUUGGACUGUGAAGAUGGUGUGGCUCUGAACAGAAAGAGAGAAGCAAGACUGAACAUCGUGAAAACCCUUGAAGAGUUUGACUUAGGCCAUGGUGAAAAGUGUGUCAGGAUAAACUCCGUGUCCAGCGGCCUUGCAGAAGAAGAUCUAGAGGUGCUUUUGCAGUCCAAGACCCUGCCUUCAAGCAUGAUGCUGCCAAAGGUUGAAAAUGUUGAGGAAAUAAGAUGGUUUUCAGACAAAUUCUUACAUCACCUAAAAGGCCGAACACUUGUAGAACCAAUGAAUUUUAUCCCCUUUGUGGAAACUGCAAUGGGCUUGCUCAAUUUUAAGGCUGUCUGUGAAGAAGCACUGAGAACAGGAUCCCAGGCUGGCUUUCAUUUGGAUGCAGUUGUCUUUGGAGGAGAGGAUUUCCGUGCCAGCAUAGGUGCAACAAGCAGUAAAGAAACUCACGAUAUUCUAUACGCCAGGCAAAAAAUCAUAGUCACAGCAAAGGCAUUUGGCCUUCAAGCAAUAGACCUUGUUUACAUUGAUUUCCAUGAUGAAGAUGGGCUCCGCAGGCAAUCGAGGGAAGGCGCCUCCAUGGGAUUCACGGGUAAGCAGGUGAUUCACCCCAACCAAAUUGCUGUUGUCCAGGAACAGUUCUCUCCGAGCCCGGAAAAAAUAAAGUGGGCACAAGAACUGAUUUCUGCUUUUGAAGAACAUCAGCGAUUAGGCAAGCAAACAUAUCUCACAGAGGGAUCCUCUCUCUCCACAUCCUAACGACAUGCUAAAAUGGAGCGUUUACUUUCCGCGGGAGCAUGAUCGACAUGCCAUUACUGAAGCAGGCACAGAACAUUGUUACACUUGCCACAGCCAUCAAGAAAAAAUGAGCUGAUCUGUCAUAGUUUGCUUGCUGGAAUUGCUAAUUGCUAAAACUAUUCCCAACUCAAACCACUGCUCACUGCUGCAUGGCCCAUGUUCUACUCAUAGCCUGCAAUGAAGUUACAUCAUCAAAUCUGUGACAUCACAGUAAUUACUGCAAAUGUGGGAGUAUGACUUCACUGAAGAAGAAAGGCAAAACAUGAGCCCUGAGCUCUGUUAAAGAGCAGAUGGAAACUAAUUCAAUUCUUUCUAUUUCUUUCUGUGCUUCUUCCUGCUCUGAUGCAGAACUCCUGGCAGAAACGAGAAAGCCUCACAUAAUUAUGCACCAGUUGAAAUAACUGCAAUGAAAAUCUUUACCCUUUGUGAGCUUUGCUAUCCCCCCACACUGCCCUUCUGUAAGUGUGCAACAGCCAUUAAAAAUAAUGCUCCAACAA